AUUGAACGCUGGCGGUAGGCCUAACACAUGCAAGUCGAACGAGUGGCGGACGGGUGAGGAAUGUCUGGGAAACUGCCUGAUGGAGGGGGAUAACUACUGGAAACGGUAGCUAAUCACGCAUACCAUCAGAUUUGCCCAGAUGGGAUUAGCUCGUAGGUGAGGUAACGGCUACCCUAGGCGACGAUCCCUAGCUGGUCUGAGAGGAUGACCAGCCACACUGGAACUGAGAAACGGUCCAGACGCCUACGGGAGGCAGCAGUGGGGAAUAUUGCACAAUGGGCGCAAGCCUGAUGCAGCCAUGCCGCGUGUAUGAAGAAGGCCUGCGGGUUGUAAAGUACUUUCAGCGGGGAGGCGUUACCCGCAGAAGAAGCACCGGCUAACUCCGUGCCAGCCGCCGCGGUAAUAC
rnacentral:rRNA from 1 species